rnacentral:rRNA from 1 species
GACGAACGCUGGCGGCGUGCUUAACACAUGCAAGUCGAGCGGAGCGGCGAACGGGUGAGUAACGCGUGAGUAACUGCCCCCCUCUCUGGGCUAACAGUUGGAAACGGCUGCUAAUACCGGAUCGUGGGGGAUGACUCGCGUCCUAUCAGCUUGUUGGUGGGGUAGUGGCUUACCAAGGGGACGACGGGGAGCCGGCCUGAGAGGGCGACCGGCCACAUUGGGGUGAGGUACGGCCCAAACUCAUACGGGAGGCAGCAGUGGGGAAUAUUGCACAAUAGGGGAAACCCGGGUGCAGCAACGCGCGUGCGGGAGGACGGCCUUCGGGUUGUAAACCGCUUUCAGCCAUGACGCGGUAGUGGAAGAAGAAGAACCGGCUAACUACGUGCCAGCAGCCGCGGUAAUUC